ACAUUUCUGAUGAGGAAUCAGGUACCUUCAACAUUAUGUGACUGCAGUGUGUGCUCUGAAGCAGCUGAAACAAUAUUUGAAGGAAGAAUGUGAAAACAGUUUGAGCCACUGGGUAUCAGGCAGCAUGGUUGCUGUGCUAAUGAAAAUUUGGAACACCAUUGCAAACUGGAGUGUUUGGCAGAAGCAGAAAUUUCUCUGUGCUGUUUAUGAGGUAUAUAAAAAGAAAGAGGCAUGGCAUGUGCUGGAGAUGGAGCUGAAGGACUGAGAAUGCUGGCAAGCCAGGUUGCUGAUCCUUAAGCAACGUUGUCUACAGCAACAGAUAUGGCCAAGCCUCAAAAGCGUUUCCUGAUUCCAGCUGGUCACAAAAUGACUGUUUUACUGUUUCUGGCCAAGCUCAUACCUACAUCAGGAUAAUGCACUGGUACUGAGUGUGAGAAUACUGCAAUCUUGUGUGUGCAGAGACAAAGCCAGUUGAAGCAAGGACAUUCUUCUGGAUCAAGGGGGAACCAAGUCAUUACCUACCAAUGGGUACGGCCUGUAACUUUCAAAACUGACUCCACACAUGGAGGAGAAUGCUCUCAACACCUCUCCAACCCCCCACAGGCCAUACAUGCCUCAUAUUUUCUGAUGCGGGAGCAAGAAUUUCAGUGAAGUUCCUAAGCCUUGCUGACUUUGAAAUUCUCAUAUUUGGGGAUUUUCCUUUUGCAAAAUACCUAAUUUGAAUAGCAUUUCAUGGGAGUACUGAGCUUCAUUUGGCAGGUGCCUGAGGGUGACACAGUAACAGGUUCUAUCACAACUGAAGAAGAUUUAGAAAAAGGAACAGUGGAAAGAGGAGAAAAUGAAUAGCAAUAUGUUUUAGAGAAGGAAAGUAUGUUCUCUACAUGAGUAAAAAGUAACUUUUGAAUUUUUUUUUUUUUUUAGGGUUCAGAUAGAGGUUGCUGUGUAGGUAGAUUCCUAAAUCCUUGUAAGAACUGAUUUGCCUAGCUCUGGAGAUGCUUACUGCAGGGCUUCAACUCCAAACUGUUUCUAGCCAGAUUCCAUUUAUUAUCAGCACAUUUUGACAUUUCAAGUAAUGCUGUGCAGGUUCUAUUUCUCACUUUCUAUUAGUGAUUUCUGUAGAGUUAUGAGCUUUUUCAUUUUCGGUUUUCCAACACUUCCAACAGAUGUCUUGCCAGCAGUUAAGAUGAUUAAAGGUUUUUGAAGAAGUAGACCGCUGCAGGAAAUCUGAAAUGGAUCCCAGUGCCAAAAAGUCUUUGGAAAAUAUAUGUAUAUCCCCUUCUUGAAGAAAUCUUCCACACUAUUGCUAUUUCAUUGCACUUCUGUGUGGUUUUUUU